rnacentral:misc_RNA from 1 species
CUCAUCCUGAUUAGUAACCAGCCAACGAUUACCGAUUCCCUGGUCGGCAUGAGAACCCACGAUAGUACUCUUCUCCAAGGCGAACCUACUGACGCCGGCAUAUGAAGUCGCCGCCAAUGAUGGUGCUGUUGUUGCAUUUACAUGAUGAUUAUUCAUUGACAGCUUUCCUAUGGCUGGUUGUUGGUUAAUAGGAGGCCUAGACCAGCCGCCAUGUCCAUAAAUAUUUGCGAACCCAUUAGGGGAAUAUAUGUGACAAGGCUUAUGGAUCAUUGAGUGCGCUUGAAUUCCAAGAGAUCUACCAUAUGCACCAUGGAGAGGGAGAGAAGCCAUGUUUGAAUAAUAAUGGUGGUGCGAGCAAGGAUGCCCCAAAAGUCCUGCUAUAUGAGUCCCUAUCUUUCCUCGUUUGGCUAGCGUCCUCUCUCUUUUAUGGGCAUUUUGGUGUCCUCCGAGUGCCUGUGAGCUAUAGAAUUUCCUUUGACAAUAGUUACAUGAGAAGACUCUUUGCUCAACAUCAGUAGUUUGAGGAGUUUCUGUUGAAGUUUUAAAUGAAUCCAUAUUGAAGCAGUCGAUAAGGUUGAGCUCUCGAUCGAAGCCAUGAUUGGAAUCGUUUCUAGUCAGGUUGAGAUCCAACUGGAGAGAAGGAUUAUCAUCUUGUUCUUGUGUUUGAACUUUCACUUCUUCUUUUUCUUCUUCUUCUU